UACAGAGGGGGCAAGCGUUGUUCGGAAUUACCGGGCGUAAAGGGCGCGUAGGCGGCCUGCUAAGUCGAACGUGAAAUCCCUGGGCUCAACCCAGGAACUGCGUCCGAUACUGGCUGGCUUGAAUUCGGGAGAGGGAUGCGGAAUUCCCGGUGUAGCGGUGAAGUGCGCAGAUAUCGGGAAGAACACCCGUGGCGAAGGCGGCUCUCUGGGACGGUACUGACGCUGAGACGCGAAAGCGUGGGGAGCGAACAGG
rnacentral:rRNA from 1 species